rnacentral:rRNA from 1 species
UACGUAGGUGGCAAGCGUUGUCCGGAUUUAUUGGGUUUAAAGGGUGCGUAGGCGGCCCUGUAAGUCAGUGCUGAAAUAUCCCGGCUUAACCGGGAGGGUGGCAUUGAUACUGCAGGGCUUGAGUGACGUCGAGGUAGGCGGAAUUGACGGUGUAGCGGUGAAAUGCUUAGAUAUCGUCAAGAACACCGAUAGUGAAGACAGCUUACUAGACUUCAACUGACGCUGAGGCACGAAAGUGUGGGGAGCAAACAGG